rnacentral:rRNA from 1 species
GGCUCAGGAUGAACGCUAGCGACAGGCCUAACACAUGCAAGUCGAGGGGCAGCGAAGAGGUAGCAAUACCUUUGUCGGCGACCGGCGCACGGGUGAGUAACACGUAUGCAAUCCACCUGUAACAGGGGGAUAACCCGGAGAAAUCCGGACUAAUACCCCCAUAAUAUGGGGCGCUCCGCAUGGAGAGCCCAUUAAAGAGAGCAAUUUUGGUUACAGACGAGCAUGCGCUCCAUUAGCCAGUUGGCGGGUAACGGCCCACCAAAGCGACGAUGGAUAGGGGUUCUGAGAGGAAGGUCCCCCACAUUGGAACUGAGACACGGUCCAAACUCCUACGGGAGGCAGCAGUGAGGAAUAUUGGUCAAUGGACGAGAGUCUGAACCAGCCAAGUAGCGUGCAGGAUGACGGCCCUAUGGGUUGUAAACUGCUUUUAUAAGGGAAUAAAGUGAGUCUCGUGAGACUUUUUGCAUGUACCUUAUGAAUAAGGACCGGCUAAUUCCGUG